rnacentral:misc_RNA from 1 species
CUGGAACUUUUGCUUUUUAUUUUGUUUCUUCUAUAUUCCAGAUACCAACAAGAAAAGGAAAAGCAUACAUUUGGUUGGGAUAUUGUGAAUUUGAAAUUUGUAUUGCAGCCAAACUUGCUAAGAUUGCAAUUGGCAAACAUUUAGGACAAGAAAAAUUAAAGUUCAGAUGCUGACUUAUGCAAAAGACAGGUUGCAGCAUCAUGUACAGGAUGUCAGAAGAGCAGAAGCUUCAGAUUGUUGUACUUUUUUUUUUCUUCUUUGUUAAAGAGAUUGUUGAACUUCAGGCAAAAGGAAGAUUGGAAUUAGCUUCCUAGUCCUACCAUGGUCCUCCAUAGGAUAUGCAGGGCCUGUAAAAGUUUCUGUGGGCCGUGAAUUGAAGAAUGUUGGGUUUGUGAAGGCAACGCCGGUAUGUAAGCCUGAUGAAAGGAGCUUGGGAUGCCUAGCAUAGACCUGCAGAAAAAUGGUGCAGCACAGGCUGGGAAGAGCAGGAUGUUUGAUAUGGUUGUUCUAUAUGACUGCAGGGUAUAAAGGCCUAUUAUGGAAUGUCCAUCCAAAAAAUGGCCAACCACGUUGAUGAUAGGUAAGUGUGUUUUGGUGCUUAUUUACCCAUAGAUGACUUCAAUGCAAAAACCUCUAAACACAUGGGAUAAAGAUAGAUAGAUAAAUAUGUAAAUCUUUUUCAAAUUAUUGUACUUCAUGAAGACAUACAAAGGUAAGGUCUGGACCUUAAUAACUUUUGUCUAAAAUGUGGACCUUAAGAACUUUUGAACGAAAAUUCUGAUCUCAAACUAUCAGACUUCAUGGCAACAACAGACUUCAGAGAUGAGCCAAAAAGCGUUUCUUGCAGGUUUCAACAUCUCCUUUGGAUCUCGCCGGGUUUGAUCGUAGGCCUCAAUUUUGUUCAUCUCCUCAAUCCAAGCAGCCAGAUUAGGUCGGCCUUCAGUGAUAUCAUAUUUCCUUAGGUCCAACAAGGCAGGCUGAAAUCUUUCAAUGAAUGGAGCAUACACGAUAUCCACCUAUAGCAAACGUAGCAAAAAUUCUAACUUUGUUAGUUUCAAUGUAAGUAAUAGAAUAGAUCCCAGGGUAAAAAAUGUUAUAAUCUCUCUGCCAAAUUAUAUUUUGUUAUCCAAUCUCUGGUUAAAAUAAAAAAUCAAGGUAGAAAUUGGUGGUGAUUAGAUUUCCACGCCACAUGUAUAAGAAUCUUUUAUCCUUACCAAACUGAACUGGCCAAGGAAAAAGGGUCCAUCAUCAUAUUUGGAAAGAGAUGUUUCAAUGAAAUCAAGUGCAGUACCGGCUUCAUUUGCAUCUUCUUUGAACAAGGAAACUAGAGCUUUGUUGAACGAGUCAGUGUAGGCAAACAACUCUUCUGCUAACUCUUUCUUUGCAGGAUCAUCAGGGAAAAGUGAUGGCCCAUCAAAGUUACUGUCAAUGUAUUUAAUCAAAUCAAGAGACUCUCCUUUGACUUCAUUAUCAUGUUCCAUUGAAGGUACCUUGUUAGGAGGGUAGACUUUCUCCUUGUACCAGGUGGGCCUAUUUUGCAGAUCAAUAGGAACCAAUUUGAUCUUGUCCUGCAAUCCCUGCUCUCCCAGAAAAAGAGUUCAGCAUAAAAUAAAAUAGACCGAAAGAAAAACAUUAACUUUGAGAUUGUUAUCUGUCUUAGAUCAGAUACACUUAACUUAGGAACAUGAAUUCCCCCUCAACCAUUUGGCUGAGAUAAGCCUCACAAUUAUAGAAAGAACUAUAUCUGCUCUUCAAAUGAUAUUGUAUAUACACUAUAAAGACUAAACUAACUAAAACCCAAGUCAUGAAAAGUUGGAGAAACAACCUUACAGUUGCGAGUAAUCCACACACGCUGAGCAUAUGGGCAUGAAUACGAUAUGUACAACCUUAAACAUUCAGCCAAUGGUAAGAUAAUUUACUAUAUGAGUCCAUAAAGACGCUUUAAAUCGAAUAAUUACAAUGCAUAUAUCUCACAACGAUAUCACUUAACAUAUUAUCACGGCAUAGUAAUAAAUUUACAAGCAAAUAAAGCAAAACUGGGCCGUACCUUGUUGUUCCAUCAAAGAUAGGAGGUGGGUCUGAAGUAGAAGUUAGAGCAGGCGAAAGAACCUCUUUCCAACUUCCUGUAGCCAUAGAAGCCGAUAAAGAUGCAGAUGCAGCUCUUACGUUCCUGAGAAGGGAAGCAAAUUGAUGAAACUGAAGCGAACGAGAGUGUAAUUUGAUGGGAUUGUUAGCUUUUGCGAAUCUAGCGGAAUUCUUGGGAAGAAAAGGGAAAGAGAAAUGGAUAGAAAGAUCCCUUGCAUACAUCAGUGGUGAUGAAACAUUGAAGUAGAUAACUGUCUAUGCGGCCAUUUCUGGUUGGAUUCAUGCAC